CAUUUUCUAUCUUUGCAUCAGAGUGAUCUCCCCCUGAACACAACUGGUUUAGCAUAGCAUCUCCAGUGUCAAUAUGACCUGAAGAGCAAGUAUUGCUAGGCUAUUUGGUCAUUCUUUUCCUGAGAUCUACUUUGCCUCUUGGCUCCACUGAUCGGUCAGCUGCUCUAUACCAUCACCAUCAUCCUGACCUUAUCAAUCACACGUAAGACGCGUACCAACAACCGAGGCUGCCUGCCCCGUCCCCAUCCACAACCGCGUGGUGUGCCUUACAAUCUCUCCCACUCGGCCAAAACCCAGACGGGCGCUUGGCCGGAAAGCGCCGUCGGACGGAAAAAUCUCCCGGAACUCCACUCCACAGUCCACACACACACCCCCGCUGCCCGACACGCCGUCGCGGCCGUUCCCGUCGACCUCUCUCCGUCUUAUCGCAUCGCACCGCAAAAGGUGUGGCGCAGCCGGUCGACCCCGGCCGCGGGCCGUCGCGGUCUCGCACCCUUUUCGCACUCUGGCAACGAGUCCGCCACAAUAAUAACCAGUAGGGAAUAACCUUUCAAAACAAAAAAAAACAGUAGGGAUUAAUAACAUUUCAAAACAAUAAACAGUGUCCUAAAAAAAGUAGGGAUUAACCUUUCAAAACCAAAAAAAAAAAUCCUAAAAGACAGUAUAGGGAUUAAAAAAACAGCAGGGAACAACCUUCCAAGAAAAAAAACAGCAUCCACAAAAAAAAAACAGUAGGAGAUAAAUAGCAGGACAGAACUGCAGGCCGCGUGAGGCAGUAGAAAAUUGCGGUUUGAUUUUUUCUCCUCGCCCCGCCGCUACACGCCACGCCCACGCCAACGCCAUCGUCGCCGCCUCCGCACCAACCGCCCUCCUCUACAUAACCGAUCCGAGAACCGCGCGGCCGCCCACGGUGGGUUCUCACCGCCAACGACUUGGGCCGGCGCGUUGAGGGUCGGCAGAUGCGGGACGGCGGCGGCUCCGGCUCCGGCCGGGAAGGCGGCGGGGAGGAGGAGAAGGAGCGGGAGCGUGGGCCGCGGCCGGGGUGCGGGGGCGAGGCGGCGGGGCAGGCGGCGGCGGACUGCGCGGCGGUGUGCUGCUGCUGCCCCAUGGCGCUGCUGGAGCUGGUGCUGCUCGUCGCGGUCCGGCUGCCGGCCGACCUCGCGCGCCGGGCCAGGCAGAGGCGGCGCCGGCGGCGCGGCGGCAGCGGGUCGGCGUCGCUGUCCGGGAGCACCAAGGCCAUGUUCGCGGCGCGGCGGACGCGCUGGAGGCGGACGAGGCCGAGGCCGGGGCCAGGCGCGAGGAGGAGGCGGCCGAGGCGGCGUCCGAGUUCGAGCGCGAGAUCAUGGCCUCCCGCCUCUACGGCGCCGGGUUCUGGCGCUCCAACUCCUCCCGCUCCAGCUCCCGCGCCUCCUCCGCGCGCCGGUAGCCGCGCUCGUCGACGGCCGAGCCGGCCAGCAACGGCGACGUCCCGUCGGCGUCCUCUUCUUCUUCUCUGUCGCGUCGAGUGCGUGUGUUCCCUGUGCCCGCCGUCGCGUUGCGCGGCGUGCGCGUGGAAGAUUUGGCUCGCCUCGUCAGGUGUUUAGUUUUAGUUUAGUUUGGCAUCGUGGUACAGCAGGCGAUCGUGGACACGUGCGUGCGUCCGAUCUUGGCCAUGGCGUGUCGCUGCUUUAGGAUGGGAUGGAUUCGUGAUGGACCAGUGGAAUUGCUCGGCUUGGCUUUGGAGAGAGGAACGGUGGUCGUCCUCAACUCCUGAGUCCUGACCGAGCAGCAUAUGCUAUUGUUGCCACCUGUGGAAUUGGAAUUGGAAUUGCUUGCAUGGCACUCGUGGUCAAACAAUCUAGUAGUAGUAGUAGUGAUAAUGUACAGUAGCAGCACUAGUGGCAAAUCUCUUGAAGGAAUUUUGUGGACCUAAUGGCCGUCAAAGAUCA